GAUGAACGCUGGCGGCGUGCCUAAUACAUGCAAGUCGAGCGAACAGACGAGGCUCUUGCUCCUCUGACGUUAGCGGCGGACGUGUGAGUAACACGUGUAUAACCUCCCUAUAUGACUGGGAUAACUUCGGGAAACCGGCGCUAAUACCGUAUAAUAUCUUGCACCGCAUGGUUCAAUAGUGAGAGACGGUUUUUCUGUCUCUUAUAGAUGCAUCCGCGCCGCAUUAUCUAGUUGUUACGGUAACGGCUUACCAAGGCGACGAUGCGUAGCCGACGUGAGAGGGUGAUAGGCGACACUGGAGCUGAGACAGGGUCAAGAGGACUAAGGGAGGCAGCAGUAGGGAAUCGUAGGCAAUGGGCGAGAGCAUGACGGAGCAAGGGCGAGUGAGAGAUAAAGGUGUUGGGAUCGUAAAACUCUGUUAUGAGGGAAGAACAAAUGUGGAAGUAAAUAUGGACGGAGUGACGGUACCGAAUAAGAAAGCAACGGCUAACUACGUG
rnacentral:rRNA from 1 species